AGCUGAGGAAAAAGCCCAGAGAGAAUGGGAAGAGAAGUACAGAGAGAGUAAUAGCUGUACACCGGAUUCGUGUGACCGUGAAAAUUACUCGGACGUGACUGAAGAAAGAGAUGACUUGAAGGCAUCUCAGGAACCAUGCUUAGCUGGAAGAACAAGUAUGCAGAAUCAUGCAAACCAGUGUGGAGCAGCAGAUGUUUCCCGUACCAAGCAGAAUGGAAAU
rnacentral:misc_RNA from 1 species